GACCAAAAACCCUUACCCUAAUUUGAUAAUUACGUAUCCCUGCCACUCCCUCCUCUUCUUCUUUCACGCUUCUUCUUUUUUCACUCCUCUUCUUCUUUCACGCUUCUUCUUCUUCUUCUUCUUCUUUCAUUUUUUCUAGAUUUUUUUUUUGGAUCUUUCAUUUUAUAUCUCUUCUUCUCCAUCAUCAUCAUCAUCAAUGAAACUUUAGAUCUAUCUUCUCCAUAGAUCUCUCUUUGCGUUUCUUCAUAGAUUGAAUCUUUCUUCAUGUUUCUUCUCCAUGGAUUUCUUAGAUUCACUAAUCAUGGAUCUCUCUUCAUGUUUCUUCUCCAUGGAUAUCUCUCCGUGCUUUCGUCCUUUGAAGUGCGCAAUCGUUUGGUGAGAAAAACGGUUCACAAACUUCGACAAAGAAGGUUGACGGCGGAUAAUCGGCGACGACGACGAUGAAGAAAGCAAGAAGAGGCGAAUUAGUAAGUGUGACGGCGCUAGGGUUUAGAAUUACAAUUGCUUCGUUUCAGUUGUACCUACUUAUUUGUACCAGUUGUACCUAACUAUUUGUACCAUUGUACCUAACUAUUUGUACCAGUUGUACCUAUUUAUAUGUCAGUUAUACCAAUUGUAUCAAUUGUACUAUUAUCUUUUAGUAAUACCAUUUGUACCAGUUGUCCAAUUAUCUCACAGUUAUACUAUUUGUAUCAGUUUUCAUAUUAUCUCUUAAUUGUACCAGUUGUACUAUUAUCUCUUAGUUGUACCAA
rnacentral:lncRNA from 1 species